UCAAACUUGGUCAUUUAGAGGAAGUAAAAGUCGUAACAAGGUUUCCGUAGGUGAACCUGCGGAAGGAUCAUUAUUGAAUAAACCUGGUGGGUUGUAGCUGGCUCAUUAGAGCAUGUGCACGCUUGCCAUCUUUAUCAUUCAUCCAUCUGUGCACCUUUUGUAGGUCUUGUGGGGAAAAGGAGAGUGAGGCCAGCUUUCUCCUACUGUGCUAUGUGCUGAACGUGGGGACUGGCUUUAUGACCUUCUCCGCAGGUCUUAUGUGCUUUCACAUACCCUUGCAGUAUGAUACAGAAUGUAUUAAUUGGGCCUCUGUGCCUAUAAUAAAACACACUAUACAACUUUCAGCAACGGAUCUCUUGGCUCUCGCAUCGAUGAAGAACGCAGC
rnacentral:misc_RNA from 1 species